UUUAGCAUGGAAUAAUAGAAUAGGACUUUGGUUCUAUUUUGUUGGUUUAAAGGACCAAAGUAAUGAUUAAUAGGGACAGUUGGGGGCAUUAGUAUUUCAGGGCUAGAGGUGAAAUUCUUGGAUUCCUGAAAGACUAACUACUGCGAAAGCAUCUGCCAAGGAUGUUUUCAUUAAUCAAGAACGAAAGUUAGGGGAUCGAGAACGAUUAGAUACCGUUGUAGUCUUAACCAUAAACUAUGCCGACUCAGGAUCAGUGGACGUUAUCAUGACUCCAUUGGCACUGUAGGAGAAAUCAAAGUUUUUGGGCUCCGGGGGGAGUAUGGUCGCAAGGCUGAAACUUAAAGGAAUUGACGGAAGGGCACCACCAGGAGUGGAGCCUGCGGCUUAAUUUGACUCAACACGGGGAAACUCACCAGGUCCAGACAUAGUAAGGAUUGACAGAUUGAGAGCUCUUUCUUGAUUCUAUGGGUGGUGGUGCAUGGCCGUUCUUAGUUGGUGGAGUGAUCUGUCUGGUUAAUUCCGAUAACGAACGAGACCUUAACUUACUAAAUAGUCCCAGGAAUUUCGAUUCCUCGGGGACUUCUUAGAAGGACUAUGGAUGUUUAAUCCAUGGAAGUUUGAGGCAAUAACAGGUCUGUGAUGCCCUUAGAUGUUCUGGGCCGGACGCGCGCUACACUGAUGAAGUCAGCGAGUUCAUUCCUUGGCCGACAGGUCUGGGUAAUCUUGUGAAACUUCAUCGUGAUGGGGAUAGGGCAUUGCAAUA
rnacentral:rRNA from 1 species